rnacentral:rRNA from 1 species
CCUACGGGUGGCAGCAGUGAGGAAUAUUGGUCAAUGGACGAGAGUCUGAACCAGCCAAGUAGCGUGAAGGAUGACUGCCCUAUGGGUUGUAAACUUCUUUUAUAUGGGAAUAAAAUGUUCCACGUGUGGGACUUUGUAUGUACCAUAUGACUAAGGAUAGGAUAACUCCGUGCCAGCAGCCGCGGUAAUACGGAGGGUCCGAGCGUUAUCCGGAUUUACUGGGUGUAAAGGGAGCGUAGGUGGGUUGUUAAGUCAGUUGUGAAGGUUUGGGGCUCAACCGUAAAAUUGCAGUUGAAACUGGCAGUCUUGAGUACAGGAGAGGAUGGCGGAAUUCGUGGUGUAGCGGUGAAAUGCUUAGAUAUCACGAAGAACUCCGAUUGCGAAGGCAGUUCACUGGACUGCAACUGACGCUGAGGCUCGAAAGUGUGGGUAUCAAACAGGAUUAGAUACCCCUGUAGUC